CAAUAGCGUAUAUUUAAGUUGCUGCAGUUAAAAAGCUCGUAGUUGGAUUUCGGGUGGGAAUGGCCGGUCCGCCGUUUCGGUGUGCACUUGCUACGCCCACCUUGCUGCCGGGGACGUGCUCUUGAGUUCACGCUCGGGACACGGAGUCGGCGAGGUUACUUUGAGUAAAUUAGAGUGUUCAAAGCAGGCCUACGCUCUGAAUACAUUAGCAUGGAAUAACACGAUAGGAUUCUGGCCUAUCUUGUUGGUCUGUAGGACCGGAGUAAUGAUUAAGAGGGACAGUCGGGGGCAUUCGUAUUUCAUUGUCAGAGGUGAAAUUCUUGGAUUUAUGAAAGACGAACUACUGCGAAAGCAUUUGCCAAGGAUGUUUUCAUUAA
rnacentral:rRNA from 1 species